rnacentral:tRNA from 1 species
GGGCCUAUAGCUCAGCAUGGUAGAGCAGCGGGCUUUUAACCCGUUGGUCCCGGGUUCAAAUCCCGGUAGGCCCA